AUGUGGUGCUCAAACACCAGGUCCGCGACAAGUGUGUCGUCGGCUGAACUUUCAGGUCAUGCUAGCCCUGUCUCCAAGGAGUCGCCGCACUUCGCUGAUAUGCUGACGAAGGCCAAGGAAGCCAAGGCCGUCUGCUUUGAUCUCUCGAAGGGGUUAUCCAAGCUUCUUCAUAUCGUUCGUGUAGUCAACAUGUGCGAAACCAUCCAUCCUAAGAUCACCUUUGGCUCUCCUUCUGGAGUUCUGGGCAUUAGUGAGAACCACUUUUGUUUAUUUAUAUUUGGGCUUAGAUAUUCUUGCCAUGACUAUAUUUAG
rnacentral:rRNA from 1 species